rnacentral:rRNA from 1 species
GACAGAGGUGCCGAGCGUUAGGCGGAAUCACUGGGCUUAAAGCGUGUGUAGGCGGACCGUUAAGUACCUUGUGAAAUCCCCCGGCUCAACCGGGGAACGGCUGGGUAUACUGGCGGUCUUGAGCCAUCCAGGGGCAGUCGGAACAGACGGUGGAGCGGUGAAAUGCGUAGAUAUCGUCUGGAACGCCGAAGGUGAAAACAGACUGCUGGGGAUGGGCUGACGCUGAGACACGAAAGCCAGGGGAGCGAACGGG